GAAACCGUAGUCAACUAUGACAUAUGACUUGCAUUCAUAAAGUGUAUUAACCUGUUUCA
rnacentral:tRNA from 2 species